rnacentral:piRNA from 1 species
UGGGUGUAUCGUGUUUGAUGGUAACCAUGGU